CGGAUUGCAGGCUGCAACUCGCCUGUAUGAAGUCGGAAUUGCUAGUAAUCGCGGAUCAGCAUGCCGCGGUGAAUACGUUCCCGGGCCUUGUACACACCGCCCGUCACACCAUGGGAGCCGGUAAUACCCGAAGUCAGUAGUCCAACCUCGUGAGGACGCUGCCGAAGGUAGGAUUGGCGACUGGAGUGAAGUCGUAACAAGGUACC
rnacentral:rRNA from 1 species